rnacentral:misc_RNA from 1 species
AAGACUAUAGACCUGCGGAGUACCUGCGGAGGGAUCAUUACCGAGUUAUACAACUCCCAAACCCACUGUGAACCUUACCUCAGUUGCCUCGGCGGGAACGCCCCGGCCGCCGGCCCCCGCGCCGGCGCCGGACCCAGGCGCCCGCCGCAGGGACCCCAAACUCUCUUGCAUUACGCCCAGCGGGCGGAAUUUCUUCUCUGAGUUGCACAAGCAAAAACAAAUGAAUCAAAACUUUUAACA